rnacentral:rRNA from 1 species
UGGGGAAUAUUGGACAAUGGGGGGAACCCUGAUCCAGCAAUGCCGCGUGUGUGAAGAAGGCCUGAGGGUUGUAAAGCACUUUCGGUGGGGAGGAGAGGUAUAUGAUUAAGAGUUGUGUACUGAGACGUUACCCACAGAAGAAGCACCGGCUAACUCCGUGCCAGCAGCCGCGGUAAUACGGGGGGUGCGAGCGUUAAUCGGAAUUACUGGGCGUAAAGAGUGCGUAGGUGGUUUAUUAAGUUAUGUGUGAAAUGCCUGGGCUUAACCUGGGAAUGGCAGAUGAUACUGAUAGACUUGAGUAUAGGAGAGGGUAGUGGAAUUUCCGGUGUAGCGGUGAAAUGCGUAGAUAUCGGAAGGAACACCAGUGGCGAAGGCGGCUACCUGGCCUGAUACUGACACUGAGGCACGAAAGCGUGGGGAGCAAACAGGAUUAGAUACCCGGGUAGUCC